CCACAUCUCAACUCCCUAAUAAAUCUCCAACUAAAACUCCAUCAACUUAGGCUACAUAUAUUCUGCAACUCCAUUCCAUAAAAUCCACAUUUAAAAUCUAAGAGUCCCAACGCAGUUUCAUCUCUUCCACAAAGUUUGAAGGAGAAACCAAGAGAGUUGUGAUUUUUCAAUACUUUCUCUUCUGCAAGUUUUGCCUCUUCCGGAAGGGUGAAAUUUUGCACGUUGUUGAGGUUGGGACAGGAAGUUUGUGGAGGCU